GAUGAACGCUAGCGGGAGGCCUAACACAUGCAAGCCGAGCGGUAUUGUUUCUUCGGAAAUGAGAGAGCGGCGUACGGGUGCGGAACACGUGUGCAACCUGCCUUUAUCUGGGGGAUAGCCUUUCGAAAGGAAGAUUAAUACUCCAUAAUAUAUUGAACGGCAUCGUUUAAUAUUGAAAGCUCCGGCGGAUAGAGAUGGGCACGCGCAAGAUUAGCUAGUUGUUGAGGUAACGGCUCACCAAGGCGAUGAUCUUUAGGGGGCCUGAGAGGGUGAUCCCCCACACUGGUACUGAGACACGGACCAGACUCCUACGGGAGGCAGCAGUGAGGAAUAUUGGUCAAUGGGUGCAAGCCUGAACCAGCCAUCCCGCGUGAAGGACGACUGCCCUAUGGGUUGUAAACUUCUUUUGUAUAGGGAUAAACCUACCCUCGUGAGGGUAGCUGAAGGUACUAUACGAAUAAGCACCGGCUAACUCCGUGCCAGCAGCCGCUGUAACAC
rnacentral:rRNA from 1 species